rnacentral:sRNA from 1 species
UAAUACAAGAGAAAAGAGAGGUCGGGCUAACGACCUCCCUUUGUAGCACCGUUUAAGACGGUGACCAUUUUAACGAAAUAUUUAUGA